GAUGAACGCUGGCGGCGUGCCUAAUACAUGCAAGUCGAGCGAACGGACGAGAAGCUUGCUUCUCUGAUGUUAGCGGCGGACGGGUGAGUAACACGUGGAUAACCUACCUAUAAGACUGGGAUAACUUCGGGAAACCGGAGCUAAUACCGGAUGAUAUUUUGAACCGCAUGGUUCAAAAGUGAAAGACGGUCUUGCUGUCACUUAUAGAUGGAUCCGCGCUGCAUUAGCUAGUUGGUAAGGUAACGGCUUACCAAGGCAACGAUGCAUAGCCGACCUGAGAGAGUGAUCGGCCACACUGGAUCUGAGACACGGUCCAGACUCCUACGAGAGGCAGCAGUAGGGGAUCUUCCGCAAUGGGCGAAAGCCUGACGGAGCAGCGCCGCGUGAGUGAUGAAGGUCUUCGGAUCGUAAUACUCUGUUAUUAGGGAAGAACAUAUGUGUAAGUAACUGUGCACAUCUUGACGGUACCUAAUCUGAAAGCCACGGCUAACUACGUG
rnacentral:rRNA from 1 species